AGCUGGCUGAAUUUGAGGACUGGGUGCUGGGUGAGGAGAAGGUAUGCAUAGUUGCUGAAUUCAUCACUCAUGCACUCCCCAGGGGAAAAGAUCAGGUCUUAAUUACAGAACACAGUAACCUGGCUAAUAGCAGAUUUUUAGACCCAAGAAACAACAUUUUAUUUAAAUUUGAUCACUUACAGAAAGAAGCAAGUGCCCCCCAGCCAGAGGAAGUAGGUGGAGGUCUACUUGGAAUUUUACUUCUACACCAAGU
rnacentral:lncRNA from 1 species